rnacentral:siRNA from 1 species
AGAUGAAUGUAACCUAACGUGUGU